UUUUUUUAUGUUAAGACUAUAUUAUCGGAACGAAUAUGUAUCGGUUUUGCGUGUUCUUUUUUUUUCUUGCUGUUUUCUAUCCGUUGUGUAGGGUUUAAAGUUAAAACUUGAUAUUUCCACCCAGUACCGACGUCAGAAUUUUCUGGACGCGGUAAAUUGUCCAAAAGAAACUGAUGAUUUUUCAGCUGUUUAUAGUUUUUCAGUUUUGUUUUAGCAGACGGAACUGGCGAAAACGCUCGAAAAUUUAACGCGGGGUUCACCAUGUAGUUGUACGGUUAGCAUUAAAACAACCGAGUUCAAUGUAGUCCUUUUAAUCAAGUUUAAGUUCAAAUUUUCACGAAAAUAAUAAAAUUCACGGCAUUUCCGAAACGCUUUUAACCGAACUCCGCUCAGAAAUCAGAAACGUUUUACGUCAGCGACGAUUUAUCGUCGCGUUCAAAUAUAAACUGAACACAUCUACGUAUCCGACGUUUUGUUAUUAUUUUUUUUUUUUUCAUUAGUUUCGUGCGCGAAUGGAACAAAUCUAAAUAUAUUAUACAAAUAUUAAUAGUAUUCCUAUAUCGAUAAAUGUGUAAGGUCUCACGGAAGAAGUCAAUUAUUAUCAAUACAAACCAAUUAAAUUUUAAAAAUACACACACACGCUUGUUGCACACAAACGUAUGCACUUAUGUAAUUUAUGCCGACAAUUCGAACAAUCGCAUUCGAUAAAAUUAUAUUCAAAUAAAAACAAAAUGGUUGAAAACAAUUCACUGAAGCCUUUCUCGCCCGGUGCCGAAGAAACGCACGGCCAACGUCGGAAAUCGCCGUAUUAAAAUUAAGUAUCUAUUUGAACUUACUCUUGUUUUCGGACAUUUUCUCGUAUAUGCGGACGUCGGUUACGAUCAAAUCGAGUAAGUACCUAUAAGUACUGUAAAAAAUAAUAAUAUUAAUAAUAGUCCAAUAACGAUCGUAUAAUUGAAAUCGCUAUUUUUUUUUUUAUUAUUUUUGUAUAAUUUGAUUACCUAUUAUUGUUAUUAUAUAAUAAGUAAUACAUAACACAGAUAUAGGUUAGUUAGAUAAAUUAUUUUAUCAUUGUGUAACAUAAUAAUUGAUAUUUUCAAGACGUGCAUUACUCGCACGAAAACACGAACUUUGGAUCGGUUGAUCGGGUCCACUGUCUUCAGACAGAUAACAUGUAUACCUACGGCUGUACUCAUAAUGACCUAAUUUUGUACGCGUACACAAGACCGAAUGUGUAAAUUUAUAAACUCCUCGUCGUAAUAUUAUUAUUAAUAUUAUUGUUGAUAAUACUCGAACCAGUCGCCGUAAAUAUGUAAGUACAAUAGGUUAGAGGU